rnacentral:rRNA from 1 species
GUUAAGCGACUAAGCGUACACGGUGGAUGCCCUGGCAGUCAGAGGCGAUGAAGGACGUGCUAAUCUGCGAUAAGCGUCGGUAAGGUGAUAUGAACCGUUAUAACCGGCGAUUUCCGAAUGGGGAAACCCAGUGUGAUUCGUCACACUAUCAUUAACUGAAUCCAUAGGUUAAUGAGGCGAACCGGGGGAACUGAAACAUCUAAGUACCCCGAGGAAAAGAAAUCAACCGAGAUUCCCCCAGUAGCGGCGAGCGAACGGGGAGCAGCCCAGAGCCUGAAUCAGUGUGUGUGUUAGUGGAAGCGUCUGGAAAGGCGCGCGAUACAGGGUGACAGCCCCGUACACAAAAAUGCACAUACUGUGAGCUCGAUGAGUAGGGCGGGACACGUGGUAUCCUGUCUGAAUAUGGGGGGACCAUCCUCCAAGGCUAAAUACUCCUGACUGACCGAUAGUGAACCAGUACCGUGAGGGAAAGGCGAAAAGAACCCCGGCGAGGGGAGUGAAAAAGAACCUGAAACCGUGUACGUACAAGCAGUGGGAGCACGCUUAGGCGUGUGACUGCGUACCUUUUGUAUAAUGGGUCAGCGACUUAUAUUCUGUAGCAAGGUUAACCGAAUAGGGGAGCCGAAGGGAAACCGAGUCUUAACUGGGCGUUAAGUUGCAGGGUAUAGACCCGAAACCCGGUGAUCUAGCCAUGGGCAGGUUGAAGGUUGGGUAACACUAACUGGAGGACCGAACCGACUAAUGUUGAAAAAUUAGCGGAUGACUUGUGGCUGGGGGUGAAAGGCCAAUCAAACCGGGAGAUAGCUGGUUCUCCCCGAAAGCUAUUUAGGUAGCGCCUCGUGAAUUCAUCUCCGGGGGUAGAGCACUGUUUCGGCAAGGGGGUCAUCCCGACUUACCAACCCGAUGCAAACUGCGAAUACCGGAGAAUGUUAUCACGGGAGACACACGGCGGGUGCUAACGUCCGUCGUGAAGAGGGAAACAACCCAGACCGCCAGCUAAGGUCCCAAAGUCAUGGUUAAGUGGGAAACGAUGUGGGAAGGCCCAGACAGCCAGGAUGUUGGCUUAGAAGCAGCCAUCAUUUAAAGAAAGCGUAAUAGCUCACUGGUCGAGUCGGCCUGCGCGGAAGAUGUAACGGGGCUAAACCAUGCACCGAAGCUGCGGCAGCGACGCUGAUGCGUUGUUGGGUAGGGGAGCGUUCUGUAAGCCUGUGAAGGUGUGCUGUGAGGCAUGCUGGAGGUAUCAGAAGUGCGAAUGCUGACAUAAGUAACGAUAAAGCGGGUGAAAAGCCCGCUCGCCGGAAGACCAAGGGUUCCUGUCCAACGUUAAUCGGGGCAGGGUGAGUCGACCCCUAAGGCGAGGCCGAAAGGCGUAGUCGAUGGGAAACAGGUUAAUAUUCCUGUACUUGGUGUUACUGCGAAGGGGGGACGGAGAAGGCUAUGUUGGCCGGGCGACGGUUGUCCCGGUUUAAGCGUGUAGGCUGGUUUUCCAGGCAAAUCCGGAAAAUCAAGGCUGAGGCGUGAUGACGAGGCACUACGGUGCUGAAGCAACAAAUGCCCUGCUUCCAGGAAAAGCCUCUAAGCAUCAGGUAACAUCAAAUCGUACCCCAAACCGACACAGGUGGUCAGGUAGAGAAUACCAAGGCGCUUGAGAGAACUCGGGUGAAGGAACUAGGCAAAAUGGUGCCGUAACUUCGGGAGAAGGCACGCUGAUAUGUAGGUGAAGCGACUUGCUCGUGGAGCUGAAAUCAGUCGAAGAUACCAGCUGGCUGCAACUGUUUAUUAAAAACACAGCACUGUGCAAACACGAAAGUGGACGUAUACGGUGUGACGCCUGCCCGGUGCCGGAAGGUUAAUUGAUGGGGU